UACGGAGGGUGCAAGCGUUAUCCGGAUUCACUGGGUUUAAAGGGUGCGUAGGAGGGCAGGUAAGUCAGUGGUGAAAUCUCCAAGCUUAACUUGGAACUGCCGUUGAUACUAUCUGUCUUGAAUACCGUGGAGGUGAGCGGAAUAUGUCAUGUAGCGGUGAAAUGCUUAGAUAUGACAUAGAACACCAAUUGCGAAGGCAGCUCACUACACGAAUAUUGACACUGAGGCACGAAAGCGUGGGGGAUCAAAACAGG
rnacentral:rRNA from 1 species